GGACGAACGCUGGCGGCGUGCCUACUCCAUGCAAGUCGAACGAGAGCAACCGGUGCUUGCACUGGUCAAUCUCGUGGCGAACGGGUGAGUAACACGUGGGUAACCUGCCCAUCAGAGGGGGAUAACAUCCGGAAACGGAUGCUAAAACCGCAUAGGUCUUCGAACCGCAUGGUUUGAAGAGGAAAAGAGGCGCAAGCUUCUGCUGAUGGAUGGACCCGCGGUGCAUUAGCUAGUUGGUGAGGUAACGGCUCACCAAGGCCGUGAUGCAUAGCCGACCUGAGAGGGUGAUCGGCCACAUUGGGACUGAGACACGGCCCAAACUCCUACGGGAGGCAGCAGUAGGGAAUCUUCCGCAAUGGACGCAAGUCUGACGGAGCAACGCCGCGUGAGUGAAGAAGGUUUUCGGAUCGUAAAACUCUGUUGUUAGAGAAGAACAAGUGCUAGAGUAACUGUUAGCGCCUUGACGGUAUCUAACCAGAAAGCCACGGCUAACUACGUG
rnacentral:rRNA from 1 species